AUACGAACCGGACAAACGUUAUUCGGAAUUAUUGGGCUUAAAGGGUGCGUAGGCGGCGCGGUAAGUGAGGUGUGAAAGCCCACGGCUCAACCGUGGAAUUGCGCUUCAUACUGCCGUGCUAGAGGGAGACAGAGGUAAGCGGAACUGAUGGUGGAGCGGUGAAAUGCGUUGAUAUUAUCAGGAACACCGGUGGCGAAGGCGGCUUACUGGGUCUCUUCUGACGCUGAGGCACGAAAGCUAGGGUAGCGAACGGGAUUAGAUACCCCGGUAGUCC
rnacentral:rRNA from 1 species